rnacentral:rRNA from 1 species
AGGACGAACGCUGGCGGCGUGCUUAACACAUGCAAGUCGAACGAGGCGCUUGCGCCUAGUGGCGAACGGGUGAGUAACACGUGAGCAACCUGCCCUUGGCUCUGGGAUAGCCUCCGGAAACGGGGAUUAAUACCGGACAUGACCUUCUCCUGCAUGGGGGAGGGUGGAAAGUUUUUUCGGCCAGGGAGGGGCUCGCGGCCUAUCAGCUUGUUGGGGGGGUAACGGCCCACCAAGGCGACGACGGGUAGCCGG